AGAGUUUGAUCCUGGCUCAGGACGAACGCUGGCGGCGUGCUUAACACAUGCAAGUCGAACGAGAGCGUAGAGAAAGCUUGCUUUUUCUACAAUCUAGUGGCAAACGGGUGAGUAACGCGUAAACAACCUGCCCUACGGAUGGGGACAACAGCUGGAAACGGCUGCUAAUACCGAAUACGUUCCGAAAGUCGCAUGACUGUCGGAAGAAAGGAUGGCCUCUAUUUAUAAGCUAUCGCCGGAGGAGGGGUUUGCGUCUGAUUAGCUAGUUGGAGGGGUAACGGCCCACCAAGGCGACGAUCAGUAGCCGGUCUGAGAGGAUGAACGGCCACAUUGGAACUGAGACACGGUCCAGACUCCUACGGGAGGCAGCAGUGGGGAAUCUUCCGCAAUGGGCGAAAGCCUGACGGAGCAACGCCGCGUGAGUGAAGACGGCCUUCGGGUUGUAAAGCUCUGUUAUACGGGACGAAUAAUCUUGUGGUUAAUACCCAUGAGAAGUGACGGUACCGUAAGAGAAAGCCACGGCUAACUACGUGCCAGCAGCCGCGGU
rnacentral:rRNA from 1 species